UUUAUUUUUCUAAAAAAUAUAUGACCCAUUUGAUAUCUGUUAUCUUCAGAUAUUAAACUUCACCCAAGAAAGCAUAUGGAUUCUUCUUUCAACAUUUAACUCACAGCAUACUUGACAAUAUAUUAAAGACCAACAAGAAGUUAGCAACAAAUAAUCUCAAUCAACCAAAUGAAGCCAAACACUUUUAAAUUCAAAAACAACUUGAGAUAAAAUCAGAUAUUCAUAAGCAUCCGAGAUGAACAAGAAAGGGAGACAAAUUUAGACCUUUCAUAGCUUUCACAUUAUCACGGAAUUUCCUGCCUGUCUAUAAAGAAAAUCAGGCUGACGUAGCUAAACACGAACGGAUGAGACAAAUUUAGACCUUUUGUAGCUUUCAAAUUAUCAGGGAGCUUCCUGCCUGUCUAUAAAGAAAAUCAGGCCGACGAAGCUAAAUACGAACGGACCCGUUAACAAAGACCACUUCAGAACCUCGAUUUUGCCUGAAAACAUCGAACUACGACCUCAAACGACAUCAACACCUCAAUUUCGAUAUCAGCAAUUUCGACGACUAUCGUCAGUUUUCUAUUCGUUCGACGUCUAUGGUGCAACUCCGGCGAAAUAGUGACAAUAGAAGGAGAAGAAAGGACAGGAACAACAGUUAGACACAGGGUUACAGUCACGGCCCUCGCGAAACCCCGCCGGAUUUGGCCAUCUUGACGGCGAGAAAGAAGUUGACGGGAGCCAAACGAGGGGGAGAGGGGGAUGAUUUUCAGAGAUUUGUUCUUUUUUUUUCUUGUUUUUAUGUGUGUGUUGCUGGUGUUCAGAAAUGGAAGGAUCGUGGCUGGUUCGUGUUGUUAGAGGAAGAAAGUAGCUGAUGCUUUUGUGAUUUCGAUCAAUAGCAGUAGCUCAUGGGGUCAUUUGUGGCUAGGGAGAAGCCAUGGAAUUUUGGCUCUCUUCUCUGAAGAAGAUGAUCCAAACGAGGGGGGAGGGUCUGUAUUGUGCGUAGCUUUUCCUUCAUGCAACAUAGUGGUCUUUCAAAAAUAUGUGAAAAUCUCUUCUUGGUCCUUAAGUCUGAGUUAGGUUAAGUAGAGCUAGGGCUAUUUUAAAGGUAGGGAAUGAAUAUUGGG
rnacentral:lncRNA from 1 species